rnacentral:rRNA from 1 species
UACGGGGGGGGCAAGCGUUGUUCGGAAUUACUGGGCGUAAAGGGCUCGUAGGCGGCCAACUAAGUCAGACGUGAAAUCCCUCGGCUUAACCGGGGAACUGCGUCUGAUACUGGAUGGCUUGAGAUUGGGAGAGGGAUGCGGAAUUCCAGGUGUAGCGGUGAAGUGCGUAGAUAUCUGGAGGAACACCGGUGGCGAAGGCGGCAUCCUGGACCAACACUGACGCUGAGGGAGCGAAAGCCAGGGGAGCAAACGGG